rnacentral:rRNA from 1 species
UACGGGGGGGGCAAGCGUUGUUCGGAAUUACUGGGCGUAAAGGGCUCGUAGGCGGCCAACUAAGUCAGACGUGAAAUCCCUCGGCUUAACCGGGGAACUGCAUCUGAUACUGGAUGGCUUGAGAUUGGGAGAGGGAUGCGGAAUUCCAGGUGUAGCGGUGAAAUGCGUAGAUAUCUGGAGGAACACCGGUGGCGAAGGCGGCAGUCUGGACAGAUACCGACGCUGAGGCACGAAAGCUAGGGGA